UGUUUGUAUUACAGCUCAGCCUGACUCCUAUACCUAUGCCAGCAUUGUGUUUGACAGCAACAGAAAAGGUGGCAAGAUUCUCCUGGUUGCAGAUUCAGAAGAGACCAAUGUAACCUACGCAGCUGUGGUGAAAACACAUUAGGAGCGAAUAAGAACUGAACCUGUGUAACCGAGGUUACACUGUUUCUCAGAUCAAAUUCAAGCAUCAUCACGGAAUUCACCAGCUCAUAACCAUGACAUUAUUAUUCUUCAAAAGUAUUUUUUUGAUUUGAGUCUUUGUAUCUUUGUGUUUUUAAAUGGGGACUGAAAUUGAUCAGAAUUGUUUGAAAGCCAAGGAUUGUUUAAGGGUGACUGCAUGUUUUUGAAAGGAAGUAACCUGACACUCAUUGUAAGUGUUGUUUACACAGCUGCUGGGUCAGACAGUAGCAGAAGGUGCCGUCGAGCUGGAGACAUGCUCAUGUACAAAUGGAGAUUCAGCUGGAAGCAACUAUCUGAUUGGUUUAUGGACUAAUGACCAAUAAGCAUUAAAUCUUCUGAUUCAAUAUAUCGAAGUGCCUACAAGAGAAGGUGCAAAACUUGACCAAAUGUUGGGAAAUACGACAGAGCAAGUGACUGAGGUGUC